rnacentral:rRNA from 1 species
CCUACGGGUGGCAGCAGUCGAGAAUCAUUCACAAUGGGGGAAACCCUGGUGGUGCGACGCCGCGUGGGGGAAUGAAGGUCUUCGGAUUGUAAACCCCUUUCAUGUGGGAGCAAAUUAAAAAGAUAGUACCACAAGAGGAAGCGACGGCUAACUCUGUGCCAGCAGCCGGGGUAAUACAGAGGUCUCAAGCGUUGUUCGGAAUCACUGGGCGUAAAGCGUGCGUAGGCUGUUUCGUAAGUCGUGUGUGAAAGGCGCGGGCUCAACCCGCGGACGGCACAUGAUACUGCGAGACUAGAGUAAUGGAGGGGGAACCGGAAUUCGCGGUGUAGCAGUGAAAUGCGUAGAUAUCGAGAGGAACACUCGUGGCGAAGGCGGGUUCCUGGACAUUAACUGACGCUGAGGCACGAAGGCCAGGGGAGCGAAAGGGAUUAGAUACCCCUGUAGUC